AUCGCUUCUCGGCCUUUUGGCUAAGAUCAAGUGUAGUAUCUGUUCUUAUCAAGUGUAGUACCUUUCCAGCUGCGGGACCCCCGCGAUCAGGCAUCUUAUCCCCUAUCCUUUGAAUAGGGGAUAAGAUGUCUUAGCACCGGAGUACCCCUUUAACACAAAUGUGUGAAUCUCUCUGUCCAUUC